rnacentral:snoRNA from 1 species
GAAUGAAGGUAGCAUGGUUAUAUGUACAGAAAUUGAAUUUAAUAGAGUCGACAUGUCUGCUACCUCUGAUUUCUCUUAUGAUUUGGUGGCCUGGUUUAGACUCAAAUUC